CCGAGUUUACAACUUCCCAAACCCCUGUGAACAUACCUAUCGUUUUGCCUCGGCGGAUCACCCCGGCGCCCUCGGGAACGGGACGGCGCCCGCCGAGGACCCUAAACUCUGUUUCUAUAUGUAACUUCUGAGUAAAAGCCAUAAUAAUAAUUC
rnacentral:misc_RNA from 1 species